AUUGAACGCUGGCGGAAUGCUUUACACAUGCAAGUCGAACGGCAGCACGGGUGCUUGCACCUGGUGGCGAGUGGCGAACGGGUGAGUAAUACAUCGGAACGUACCCUGACGUGGGGGAUAACGUAGCGAAAGUUACGCUAAUACCGCAUACGUCCUGAGGGAGAAAGCAGGGGAUCGCAAGACCUUGCGCGUUAGGAGCGGCCGAUGGCAGAUUAGUUAGUUGGUGGGGUAAAGGCCUACCAAGGCGACGAUCUGGAGCGGGUCUGAGAGGACGACCCGCAACACUGGAACUGAGACACGGUCCAGACUCCUACGGGAGGCAGCAGUGGGGAAUUUUGGACAAUGGGCGAAAGCCUGAUCCAGCCAUUCCGCGUGAGUGAAGAAGGCCUUCGGGUUGUAAAGCUCUUUCGGCAGGGAAGAAACGGUUUUGGAUAAUACCCAGAGCUAAUGACGGUACCUGAAGAAGAAGCACCGGCUAACUACGUGCCAGCCGCCGCCGUAA
rnacentral:rRNA from 1 species